rnacentral:tRNA from 1 species
GCUGGUGUAGCACAGUGGUAGUGCACUUCAUUGGUAAUGAAGAGGUCGGCAGUCCGAUUCUGCUCACCAGCU